CUCAGGAUGAACGCUAGCGGUAUGCUUAACACAUGCAAGUCGAACGAAAAAGCAAUUUUUAGUGGCGAACGGGUGAGUAACACGUGAGAAUUUGCCUUUAGGAAGAGGAUAACUUUAAGAAACGAAAGCUAAUACUCUAUAUGCCGCAAGGUGAAAGAAGAGAUUCGCCAAAAGAGAAGCUCGCGCCUGAUUAGCUAGUUGGUGGGGUAAUGGCCUACCAAGGCGACGAUCAGUAGCUGGUUUGAGAGGAUGACCAGCCACAUUGGAACUGAGAUACGGUCCAGACUCCUACGGGAGGCAGCAGUGAGGAAUUUUCUGCAAUGGGCGAAAGCCUGACAGAGCAAUAUCGCGUGAGGGAGGAAGGCCUACGGGUUGUAAACCUCUUUUCUCAAGGAGGAAACUAUGACGUUACUUGAGGAAUAAGCAUCGGCUAACCCUGUGCCAGCAGCCGCGGUAAUACAGGGGAUGCAAGUGUUAUCCGGAAUCAUUGGGCGUAAAGCGUCUGCAGGCUGGCUUUUAAGUCUUUUGUUAAAGCUCUAGGCUCAACCUAGAAAAUGCAAAGGAAACUAAAAGCCUUGAGUAUGGUAGAGGUAAAGGGAAUUUCCAGUGGAGCAGUGAAAUGCUUAGAUAUUGGAAAGAACACCAACGGCGAAGGCACUUUACUGGGCCAGCACUGACGCUGAGAGACGAAAGCUAGGGGAGCAAACGGGAUUAGAUACCCCGGUAGUCCUAGCUGUAAACGAUGGAUACUAGAUGUUGCCUUUAUAGUAAAGGCAGUGUCGUAGCUAACGCGUUAAGUAUCCCGCCUGGGAAGUAUGCUCGCAAGAGUGAAAC
rnacentral:rRNA from 1 species